AUGUAUCCUAUCAUGAUUUUGGAGCAUCUCUAUCUUGCCCCCCCAUCUUAAUUUUCUGGCUCCGUCCCUGACAAAGAAUAAAACUAAAAAGCUUAGCAUGUGCAAUUGUACACAAAGAUUGUAACCUACCGGCAAAAGUUAAACAAAGAAUAAAUUAUGGCUUUGUACAUUAAUCUCGAAUUUUGUAUACAACAUGUUACGAAUUGUAUGUGGCGCAGCAUUUAGAGCAACCCCAACGCAGCGACUCAUUUUGUCUGUUUGAGUCAUCUAGACACAAAAGUUGGCCCAACGGG
rnacentral:lncRNA from 1 species